UUCGGUAUCCUGUGUUGCUUACCUAUCGAAAGGAAUCCGAUGGUUUCGUUGGUCCCUUUCCGCCCCAUGCCCUCGCGGGUUGUGGGGUGGACGUCAGGCAAGCCUCGUGUUCCCGGCACGCUUCGCCCAGUUGCGUGGCUGCCUCGGCCCACGGGGCGCAUUGCCCGUGCUCUCGGAUGCGGAACGUUACGCGCGGGCGUGGGGUCUUUUGGCUCCGUCGGCCCGAGCAACGCAUUUGUCCAUCGACACGAACGACCGUGGCGUCCGUCUUGAGCCCGCGGCCGUACGGCCCGUCGGGUCUCAUGCGGGCGUCGGCGUCGCGAAGGAAUGCUACCUGGUUGAUCCUGCCAGUAGUCAUAUGCUUGUCUC
rnacentral:misc_RNA from 1 species